UUCCGUAGGUGAACCUGCGGAAGGAUCAUUUGCACUAUUUGUUGUAAAUUUUCGGUUUCGAUCUUAUGCUCGACUUCACCUACCAGUGAUGUCUUCUAUUGCUGCGUGUUAGCGCUGUGGUCUCCACAGCCAAUUAUUAACACUUUCAGCGGUGGAUGUCUCGGCUCGAGUUCCGAUGAAGAACGCAGCGAAGCGCGAUACGCAUGGCGAUGCGCGGAGAUCCGUGACUUGAAGGUUUUCGAAUGCACUGCGCCUUGUGCUUCUGCACAAGGCACGUCUGGUUCGGCGUCUCUUUAUGAUCUCUCGGUGUGUCUCAACACCCGAAGCAGCACGAUUGCGCAUCACCGCUCUGAGUGGCUGUGGUGUGUUAAGUUCUCUGUACGGCAUACGACUAGAACUUUGGUCAUGAUGAUUAUUUGUCAAAAUCGUCGUGCCUGGCACUCAGUGCCCUCUGCCCUUUCCAGGGGAACCGCCUUUAUUGGAUUGUGCCAUAUACCUGGACCCGAACUUAGACUGGGCUACCCGCUGAAUUUAAGCAUAU
rnacentral:rRNA from 1 species